ACUUAAAUUGAAGAGUUUGAUCAUGGCUCAGAUUGAACGCUGGCGGCAGGCCUAACACAUGCAAGUCGAGCGGUAGCACAGAGAGCUUGCUCUCGGGUGACGAGCGGCGGACGGGUGAGUAAUGUCUGGGAAACUGCCUGAUGGAGGGGGAUAACUACUGGAAACGGUAGCUAAUACCGCAUAAUGUCGCAAGACCAAAGUGGGGGACCUUCGGGCCUCAUGCCAUCAGAUGUGCCCAGAUGGGAUUAGCUAGUAGGUGGGGUAACGGCUCACCUAGGCGACGAUCCCUAGCUGGUCUGAGAGGAUGACCAGCCACACUGGAACUGAGACACGGUCCAGACUCCUACGGGAGGCAGCAGUGGGGAAUAUUGCACAAUGGGCGCAAGCCUGAUGCAGCCAUGCCGCGUGUGUGAAGAAGGCCUUCGGGUUGUAAAGCACUUUCAGCGGGGAGGAAGGCGGUGAGGUUAAUAACCUCAUCGAUUGACGUUACCCGCAGAAGAAGCACCGGCUAACUCCGUGCCAGCAGCCGCGGUAAUACGGAGGGUGCAAGCGUUAAUCGGAAUUACUGGGCGUAAAGCGCACGCAGGCGGUCUGUCAAGUCGGAUGUGAAAUCCCCGGGCUCAACCUGGGAACUGCAUUCGAAACUGGCAGGCUAGAGUCUUGUAGAGGGGGGUAGAAUUCCAGGUGUAGCGGUGAAAUGCGUAGAGAUCUGGAGGAAUACCGGUGGCGAAGGCGGCCCCCUGGACAAAGACUGACGCUCAGGUGCGAAAGCGUGGGGAGCAAACAGGAUUAGAUACCCUGGUAGUCCACGCCGUAAACGAUGUCGAUUUGGAGGUUGUGCCCUUGAGGCGUGGCUUCCGGAGCUAACGCGUUAAAUCGACCGCCUGGGGAGUACGGCCGCAAGGUUAAAACUCAAAUGAAUUGACGGGGGCCCGCACAAGCGGUGGAGCAUGUGGUUUAAUUCGAUGCAACGCGAAGAACCUUACCUGGUCUUGACAUCCACAGAACUUAGCAGAGAUGCUUUGGUGCCUUCGGGAACUGUGAGACAGGUGCUGCAUGGCUGUCGUCAGCUCGUGUUGUGAAAUGUUGGGUUAAGUCCCGCAACGAGCGCAACCCUUAUCCUUUGUUGCCAGCGGUUCGGCCGGGAACUCAAAGGAGACUGCCAGUGAUAAACUGGAGGAAGGUGGGGAUGACGUCAAGUCAUCAUGGCCCUUACGACCAGGGCUACACACGUGCUACAAUGGCAUAUACAAAGAGAAGCGACCUCGCGAGAGCAAGCGGACCUCAUAAAGUAUGUCGUAGUCCGGAUUGGAGUCUGCAACUCGACUCCAUGAAGUCGGAAUCGCUAGUAAUCGUAGAUCAGAAUGCUACGGUGAAUACGUUCCCGGGCCUUGUACACACCGCCCGUCACACCAUGGGAGUGGGUUGCAAAAGAAGUAGGUAGCUUAACCUUCGGGAGGGCGCUUACCACUUUGUGAUUCAUGACUGGGGUGAAGUCGUAACAAGGUAACCGUAGGGGAACCUGCGGUUGGAUCACCUCCUUACCUUAAAGAA
rnacentral:rRNA from 1 species